UACGGGGGGGGCAAGCGUUGUUCGGAAUUACUGGGCGUAAAGGGCUCGUAGGCGGCCAACUAAGUCAGACGUGAAAUCCCUCGGCUUAACCGGGGAACUGCAUCUGAUACUGGAUGGCUUGAGAUUGGGAGAGGGAUGCGGAAUUCCAGGUGUAGCGGUGAAAUGCGUAGAUAUCUGGAUGAACACCUGUGGCUACGGCGGCAUCCUGGACCUACACUGACGCUGAGGAGCGAAAGCCAGGGGAGCAAACGGG
rnacentral:rRNA from 1 species